rnacentral:misc_RNA from 1 species
UUUCCGUAGGUGAACCUGCGGAAGGAUCAUUAAUGAGUUGUCAUGGGGUUCGAUGUUGGCAGCCAAUUUUUGGUUGCAUGUGCUUGCGCUAACAAUCGUCUUCCAAGCACCUGUGCACAUUUUUGAGUGAGUCUUGAGUUGGUUGCCGCUCUUGGGUGAUUUUCUCACAUUCCCUUAAAUCAUUAUACGCUAUUAACAAUGUUGAUCGUGCUCUGUGCCGCAAGGCUAUUAAUAUAAUACAACUUUUAACAACGGAUCUCUUGGCUCUCGCAUCGAUGAUGAACGCAGC